rnacentral:rRNA from 1 species
UACAGAGGUCUCAAGCGUUGUUCGGAUUCAUUGGGCGUAAAGGGUGCGUAGGUGGCGCCAUAAGUCAGGUGUGAAAUCUCGGGGCUUAACUCCGAAACUGCAUUUGAUACUGUGGUGCUUGAGGACUGGAGAGGAGACUGGAAUUCACGGUGUAGCAGUGAAAUGCGUAGAUAUCGUGAGGAAGACCAGUGGCGAAGGCGGGUCUCUGGACAGUUCCUGACACUGAGGCACGAAGGCCAGGGGAGCAAACGGG